GACGAACGCUGGCGGCGUGCCUAAUACAUGCCAGUAGAACGCUGAAGCUUGGUGCUUGCCCCGAGCGGAUGAGUUGCGAACGGGUGAGUAACGCGUAGGUAACCUGCCUGGUAGCGGGGGAUAACUAUUGGAAACGAUAGCUAAUACCGCAUAACAGUAGAUAUCGCAUGAUAGCUACUUGAAAGGUGCAAAUGCACCACUACCAGAUGGACCUGCGUUGUAUUAGCUAGUUGGUGAGGUAACGGCUCACCAAGGCAACGAUACAUAGCCGACCUGAGAGGGUGAUCGGCCACACUGGGACUGAGACACGGCCCAGACUCCUACGGGAGGCAGCAGUAGGGAAUCUUCGGCAAUGGACGGAAGUCUGACCGAGCAACGCCGCGUGAGUGAAGAAGGUUUUCGGAUCGUAAAGCUCUGUUGUAAGAGAAGAACGAGUGUGAGAGUGGAAAGUUCACACUGUGACGGUAUCUUACCAGAAAGGGACGGCUAACUACGU
rnacentral:rRNA from 1 species